rnacentral:misc_RNA from 1 species
AAGUCGUAACAAGGUUUCCGUAGGUGAACCUGCGGAAGGAUCAUCAUUAAUUUGGCCUCGGUGGUGAAAAACCGGGUCAUGAUAUAUUAGUGACAUUUUAGACCCAACUUUAGACUGGUAAUGAUGACGAUCAUGAAUGGUAGGUCUAAUACAAGUUGCGGUGACCGUGAAUUGAAGCGGUCUGUGAUCUGAUUGAGAAAUCGGUCGAUGAUCACAUGAGGUGGUUAAGUUUGGUUGGACUUUUGACGGAGGGUCCGAUUGACUUGCACCGAAAUAGAAGAUACUAGUUACUAGACGAGAACAGGAGAUGACCGGAACGUGGUUAUACACACCGGAUAAUUAUGAAAACUUUCGGCAAUGGAUCUCUUGGCUAUCC